CGCCAAGCAAAAACAUAGAUGGAAAAUAUCAAUUUUGCCUACUACCUAUGGGGUGUGGCCCUUCCCUUUUCCAUUCCCAUUCACCUCGGCACUUUCCUUUCACUUACGGAAUGUCACGUUUAAUGAAAUUUCAGUGUCUUUUUUUUCAACUAUUCUAACUAGACUGUCAAACUUGGUCGGCAAAUCUUAUGCUUCCUCGAUGGCUUCGGGAUUCACUGCUUCAUUAGUCAUGCUAGAAUCACCGCUUGAUUCUUCAUUUAUGACCCAAUCAAAAUACCCAUAGUUACCACUACAUAUUUUGAAUAAUCGCCCUUUGUUCUUUGUCUCAAUUUCAACUUCAAAAUAUAUUUGCAAUCCGUGCAUACACUAUGGGCAUCGUCGUUUUAUCGGGUAAUUCAGGAAGAAGUGGUCCAUACUUCUACAACUGUGAUAGACACCAAAUCAUCCUGGAAGAAAAAAACAAUGAGUUCG
rnacentral:lncRNA from 1 species